UGCUCAAAGCGUUCGCUAAGAAUGGUGGGCUGUAGUUUUCACGUCUACUGUUCUUUUGUUCUUCUUCCUUGAGAUAUGUCUAUUUGUCUUCUUGUUGGGGUACCGUAUGCCUCUCUCACUGUAAAGUUUUCUGAGAGAUGAUUUAUGAUUAUGUUUGGAAGUUCUCAGACCAAGACAAGAACAGUGGAAGUGUGUCUAUCUGACUCGGCAAAACUCACAGAGCCAUCCUUCUCUCUCUUGCCAUUAAUGGUAGAAACCCCCACUUAGAAGUAACAGCAGAAGUCUGCAUCUUAGAACUUGGUAUUGUCAAGACUAUGUUUGGAUUUUUGUAGUUUUGAGUAUAAGCAAUUGCUUGUAGGAUUGACAGAAGGACCAGCUUUAGAGUCAGUAGUUGGAAGUCUGUUCAGUAACUUUGUUCACUGUGUAGAUUAUAAAUAGCACAAAAUUAAUUAGUGCUUAAUCAGCAGCUCAUCACUUGAAGUACAUGUAAGAGCCUGUGAUCGAUACCAAGAUCUCAAUGACUGCCAGGGAAACUGGCAAUGUUCAAAGGCUGCAGCAAGUGGUCAUCUUUCAUCACUAGCCUCAGUGUGUCAAGGGUGAUCCUACUUCGUUUGCUGUCAUGAUGCCAAAGUUCUUGGUUUGUGUGUUUGUUGUGACUGAUAUAAUACUUCCACACUGCUGCUUCACAGUUACUGUAGAGCAUCUUUUGACCUGUUAGAAGAAGGAAGUUGUUCCCUCUCACCAUAGAUCAGACUGCUCUAUCUGAGCUAUCCAAUAGGAGAGUGACUCUGUUUUAUGAUGAACAUGUAUUGAUGAUCCAUUUGAAUUUUGCAUUACAUCUAGCUUAAGUUGAAGUAUUGCUUUCUUCCUUGUUUUUUUUUUGGAUCUGUUAUACACAUAAAUUAACAUUAGAAGUGUCCAUUGAAUGAGGAUCAUGCAAUCUUCAAAAGACCCAUCAACAAGUUGAAACAUUAUGCAAAUAUGCCACUGGCUUUACCUGUUCAUCCAUGGCAGUAGCUAAGGAAUUCUCCUGUCUUUUUAUCUUCAAGCAAUCAAUCUAAAGCAGUGUGGAACUGUGGAUGUCUUCAGUAUCAGAGAUUCUUUGGCUGUCUCUGCUGCUGCUUCUCCUGCACCACAAGUUUGUGUGGAACUGUGGAUGUACUGCCAGAGCUUCUUUGGUUGUUUCUACUGCUGAUCCUUCUGCACUGAAAGUAUAGUAUGGAAGUGUGGAUGUCCUCAGUAGCAGAGCUUCUUUGGUUGUUUCUGCUACUGCUUCUUCUGCAUCAGAAGUGUAGUGUGGAACUGUGGAUGUCCUAUCAGAUCUUUGGUUGUUUCUACUGCUGAUUCUUCUGCAUCAAAAUUAUAGUGCUGAAGUGUGGAUGGGUUUAAGUCGCAGAGCUUCUUUGGUUGUUUCUUCUACUGCUUCUUCUGCAUCAAAAAUAGUGUGGAACUGUGGAUGUCUUCAGUAGUAAAGCUUCUUUGGUUGUUUCUGCUGUUUCUCCUGCUGCUGCCUGUUCAUCAAAUGUAGGUUUGGAACUGUGGAUGUCCUCACAACCAGAACUUCUGUGGUUGUUUCCUCUGCUGCUUCUUGUUCAUCAUAUGUAGUGUGGCACUGUAGGUGUUUCUGCUACUGCUGCUUGUUCAUCAAAUGCAGUGUGGAACUGUGGAUGUCCUCAGCAUCAGAGAUUCUUUUGGUGAUUUCUUCUGGUGCUGCUUCUUUUUCUUUUUGCCUUCAUCUGCCUUAAGACAAAGGAGUGAAGCUGCACCAUGAAUGUCUCUUUCCAUGGGAUGAAAGAAAUAAACUCUUGCCAUUGAUUGUAGCUUUGAGGAAAAGCUGCAUAUACCAAGGUUCAGGUGGUAACUCUUGUGAGCAGGAAGAAGCCUAAUUGCUCUUCUUUCUUACUACUUGAUGAUCAUGAUAGAUAAGGAUUCUUCAUCCUGUCUUGUAAUGAAAGUUCAACAUUGAAAUAAUAUUGAAAUCAGACUUGUCUUUUGUGCUUUAA